rnacentral:rRNA from 1 species
UACGUAGGGUGCAAGCGUUAAUCGGAAUUACUGGGCGUAAAGCGUGCGCAGGCGGUGAUGUAAGACAGGUGUGAAAUCCCCGGGCUCAACCUGGGAACUGCACUUGUGACUGUACGACUGGAGUACGGCAGAGGGGGAUGGAAUUCCGCGUGUAGCAGUGAAAUGCGUAGAUAUGCGGAGGAACACCGAUGGCGAAGGCAAUCCCCUGGGCCUGCACUGACGCUCAUGCACGAAAGCGUGGGGAGCAAACAGG